rnacentral:lncRNA from 1 species
GGGGGGGGGGCAAGAACCCCCUUUUUUUUGCUUGGUUGGUUUCCCUACCCCGCUGCCAAGAAGCGGCGGUUGUUUAAAGAGGGUGGUGAGUGAUGAGUGGCGAUGGAUCGUGGAGGAGGAGACGAAGAAGACGCGGGCGGGCGAUGGCGACUGAGGGGGGGACAAUCCACCCCCACAUGGUAGAUCCCUCCCUCCCUCUUGCUGUUGUCAAAGGGAGGAGGAGGAAGGGAACGCCAUCGCCGCGGCGUUCUGCCCCCCUCACCCUCAGGAGUCAGGACUCUACUAGCGGACUAGCCCAU